rnacentral:RNase_P_RNA from 1 species
GUGGGCAGGAUGGUCGCUGGUUCAUUAGCUUGAACGAGAGGAAAGUCCGGGCUUCAUAGAGUGCAAUGGUCGGUAACACCGACCGGUCGUAAGAUCAGGGAUAGUGCAACAGAAAGUAAACCGCCCGCUUGCGGGUCAGGGUGAAACGGUGAGGUAAGAGCUCACCAGCAUGUCAGGUGACUGGCGUGGCUAGGCAAACCCCAUUGGAAGCAAAGCCAAGCAGGAAAGAAGAUGGUUUUACCGUCCGGGAGUAACUCGCUCUCGUUGAUUUCCGGGUAGGCUGCUCGAGGUGGCAAGCAAUUGUCAUCCUAGAUGAAUGACCAUCUCAUCGCUUUUAGUGAUGACAGAACCCGGCUUAUGGUCCACCUCUU